rnacentral:lncRNA from 1 species
AUGGAAACAUUUGUCCCAUCUCAUCAGAUCCAGGAUCAACACCCCAUCUCAUCAGAUCCAGGUGAAGAGCUCCUGCACAGGGAUAUACAUGCAAGAAGAUCUGCUCUUUAUCCAUAUCUUUUCUGGCUCAUUAUAUUUUAUAAAACCCUGAGAGGCAAUUUAUAUUUAUUUGCCGAUGACUCCAACCAAACAUACUUCAAAGAACGGCAGAAGUUGGGAGAGUGUCAGGUAAAGCCAUUUCAUGCCCACAGCUAAGGGUGGUCCGUGAGGAGCACGCCGAACACCAUCUCCAAGCUGAGGUGGUUCCGACUCUGACUGCACAUACUUUACCAACAGCAGAAGUUAAAAAGUCUGUCAGGUGCAGCCAUUUAUUGCUAACAGCUAAGGGUGAUCCAUGAGAAGUAACAGCUGGUGGUAUUUUAUUCUGAAGCACUUUUCAAUAGCUGAAGUCAUCUCGUACAUUUAUUUUUUAUUUGCUUAAUGGCUGUCUUGCUCCUCCAGAAUGGAAGCUCUAUGAGAAUAGAGAUCUCAUCCUGUUCACUCCUGUAUUUCCAAUUCCUACAAGGGUACCUGGAAUAGAGUAUAUAUUCAACAAGUAGUCAUUUAUUGCACCUCCAUCCCCACACAGUGUCUUAUACUAUGGUGUUGAAGCGGGAGAGCUAGGUACUUGCCUCAUAGAAUUGAAGAAUGAAUCUUGCAAAGUGAAUUGGACAAAGAAGAGUGAGUAAAGUGAUAGAAGUCUAUUAAGUAAGGAUAUAGAAAAAGCUCUCAGGAGUGAGAGGGGUCCCGACAGGGUUGCCACUAAGGGCUUUUAGUGGCAGUCUUUUAUUGAGAAAUGACUCAGAAGCUUGUGACCUUGAGAUCCUUGUGCCAUCUUGGUUUGAGCAAGGACUAUUGAUAAUACUCUUACUGACCUACUUCUCUGUGGUCUGGUCAUUUUCUGUGAUUGCAUUGUAGCUGCCAAAGAAAAAUACUCCCUAACAUCUGGGACCAGGUGGUCUGGUCUAUUCUCUUAUCUCUGGUUUCCUUACAUCUCAGCAUUUUGGGGAUUUCUAUGAGCCUGAUCACAUAGUUCCCUAUCUAUCUCUCCCUACCUAGCCCUGCCUGUCCCUUACUCAGUGUCAUACACAGAGGAGAGAGACAAGAUGGCCAUCUAUUUUAUAGUUAUAUAUAUAUAACUAUAUGUUAUAUAUAUGUUAUGUGUAUAUAUAUAUAUAUAUAUACAACUAUGGUGGCCUCCAAUACAUGGCUGAUAGAAAGUCAGAUUAUUAGACAGUUAUCUAUGUCCUUAAGUGCCACUGAUGCUGUAAAAAUGAUGAUAGGAUAAUUCUACGUGGAGCUUCAGUAGUUCCUCUUUUGAAGACCUUUUCCCCCUUUACAUUUGGAUGUACCUAUGGUGUGUGGCAGAAAGAGCAAUGGCUUAGUUUGAAACAGCAAAUAGGUUUCUCUCAUGUGGACCAAUUUGAAUUGAUAGAUGAAAACUGUCUGGGGGACUAAGGUAAAGGUACUCCAAGAAUAAAUCCAAAUUCACAACGUCUGCUCUGUUCUUUGGGAAGUGGUUGUGUGGGUGAUGAUGAGUUCCAAGGCUUUCCUGUUCUGAUGGAUUGCCUUCUGUUGCAAAAAAAAAAAAGCAGAGUGCUGGAGAUGGGAGCUCUGGGAAAGUGGUUUUAAUUGAAUUAUGCAACCACCCAGGCUAAUUAAAUCCAAUAGGAUUUUUCACUUUCUCCUUGGGGCGAUAAUAAAGAAAUUGACAUGGCUCCACCAUUUUUAACUUGUGACUUUGGACAGAUCUGAACCUCCCCAAGCUUCAGUUCUUUUCUCUCUAAACGGAGUCAAACAUUUUCAAUGUGCCUGGGUCAUUAAGGAAGCAAAAAAUCUAAUCAAAAUCUACAUAAUUAUGCUAUACAAAUGCAUGGGUUUUUUUCUGUUUCUGUUUUUUGUUUUUUGAGAGCCUCUAGACUCUCUUCCUAUGUGUCCUGAAUAUGUUUAGCUUUACCUUCUUGCAACUUUGGGGGUGCUGCCGUGUGGCCCCCUUGUCUCCCCUAGUGGUCACUUGAAUCAUUUUAAAGUGGGCUCAAAGCCUCAAUUUGAGACAAAGGCUCUCAGAUAUUGCUCGAUACCACCCAAGCAUUUGGUCCCAGGCCUUACUUUGCAAAUCUCCUAUCUCAUCUGGGAACUUGUUUUGGACGGUGUCUUGGGCUACAAAUUGCUAGCUGAGAAGCUGGCAAAUUUAUUACCUUAAUUAAUGCUGGGAAAGUAAACAAUAGUUUCUCAGGGAUUAAGAUUUAGGCUGGAAACUCUGAUUUGGAAGGACCAUGUGUAUUUUUCUGUUCCCAAGUGUGUGUGCCUUCCAUCCUCUGGACAGUGUUCAGACUUGUUAACCAGUUUUUCAUAAAACAUUCAAAAGGAAAAAGAGAAGGAAGGCACUAGGGAAACAGAAACGGAGCAAAGUGUUUAGAAAUUCUUUAAGAAGUCCGGGAGCCACCAGGGAGAGGGAACCAGGAGAAAGCUGUGCUGUCUGACAAAAGAUGGAAAAUCACCGAACCACAAUAGACCUCACUUGCACUGACAUGCGCUCGGCGAAGAGAACAGCUGCGGUGAAGGUAGUGAGCAUCUUAUUUCGGGGUUUGGCAGUGGACCGAACUCGAUUUGCAAAGCAGACAGCCCGGACAGGAUUGCACAGGUCCGGCUUGCAGCACAAGUGGAGGCCCCAGCCCCGAGCCUGAAGUCUUGCAAGAGGCCCCGACUUUUGUUAGGCACCCGGCUCUUACAUGGCUUUCAGGGUCCAGGCCUCACAGGAGCCCUGUGUGGUUAGCAGCAGCAUCUCCACCUUGCAGGGGGCAGCUGAGGCUUGGAGACAGGACGUCAUCCCCAGGGCAGAGCUCCUCGGUGACAGAGCCAGAACUACAAUCCACUCAAUUGCUCCUAUUGUCACCAUUAUCUUAACACAGGCCGGCCAGAGCCCCGGGUAGGGAUUUCUGGAUGCUUCUCUGCUCUGCAUGUUUCACCGUUUGCUUCAGUGUUGAGCAUUGUAUCACGCUGUUCCCAUUUGUUUCCGGAUGUUUUCCUAUGAUGCUGAUGCAGCCCAGAGUUGUGUCAGCGGGUUAGUUGGGUGAUUCGGUUUUUCAAGAAGUUCUUCCUCCAUGAGAAGUGUGCUCCAUGGGGUAAGGAAGCUACUGGAAGCAGGAAGAGAGGGAGGGCUGAUUUCCAUCCCCGUCUUGGGAAGGACAAGAGAGCUUGUCCACCCAAAGGAAAAGGUGGGCUUCAAGUGGGGAUUUUUCCAUGUUCCCGGCUCCCUAAGGAGGUCCCCUAGUCUUUACUGGGAGCGUUAACUUCUCAAAUUCUGAAAUCUUAUGGACGUGAAUGGAAAAAACAAUUACACCUUGUUUUCACUAGUCUCACUGAAAUUAACCUGCCGUUCAAUUACAGAGGGAGGAAACGAAUCAGGGUAGUGUAAGAGGUACCUAAGAUUUUGUCACCACUGGGGUUUAGAUAUUUCCAUAUCACAGGGCAAACAUUUGUAGAUAGAUAGUGUGAAAUAUCAUUUAUGAUGAACACUUCUUCAAAAUUACAGUAGCUACAAGACCUGCCACUAGAUUGUAUUAUUUAAUGUGCGUGUUACUAUAUCACAGUUAAAUUUUUUUGACUAUUGUAUUUAAAUAUAAUCAAUUGUCUUUGCAUCUUUUUAAAUUAUUUUUAAUUUCAAAACAUUAUCUUCUGAGAAGAGACAUCUCUAAACUUCACCAGAUGGACAAAAAGGAUGCAUGGCAUAAAAAGAAAGUUAUGAACUUCUGUUCUUCCUCACUCAUUUAGAAGUAUUAUAUAUGUAUUACCUAUUUAACCUGCACCUGACCGCUUUAAGAUGGGUAUUACUUGUUAUUAUUAUCCCUCAUUUUAAGGAUAAGGAAACUGAGGCACAAGGAAAUUAAUGAAGUUUUCCAAGGUAAGUUCAACAUUUAUGGAGCGCUCAUUGUGUGGAUUCUUUACUGGCAGCUCAGCGUCACUCUCUUCCCCAUCUGUACUCUCUGUAAUUCUACAAGAUGCCAGGGAAUGAUAGCCUCCCAAAUCCCCCAAGAGGAAGAUUUUCCAUGAGACCCUGCUAAAGGGUGACACCAUGGUAAGAUUUGAAAGGUGGCUGAGAAGGUGAAAUUAUUGUUUCCUCCAACGUCAGCAGGCACAUAUGCAGGAAGUUGGCUGAUUUGAGGUUUGGAGGAUCCUAAUGUGAUUUAUCCACUUAGAUGCUUCUGAGAGCUUUGGCUGCUGUUUUGAGUUUAUGAACUUAGGAAAGCACACAAGGUUUUUAUCUGACCUUCCUUCCUAAGUUUUUCCUCCAAAGAUUCUGUAAAUCCAUGUGUUCAAUUCCUUCCAGUUGGAAAAACCCAGAAGGGUGUCUGUCCUCAUUGAGUGAUAUGUGUACUAUGGGCCAGGAACAUACGCGUUAAUAGCAGAAGAUAACACAGUAUGUCAGUGAGAAUUCCUGAUAGGAAAGAGAUGGAGGUAAUUUUUUAAAAGAGUUUAUUUAUUUAUUUGUGAGAGACACAGAGAGGCAGAGACUUAUGCACAGAGAGAACUAGACUCCCUGCAGGGAGCCCGAUGCGGGACUCGAUCCCAGGACCCCGGGAUCAUGACCUGAGCCAAAGGUAGAUGCUCAACUACUGAGCCCCCCAGGUGCUCCCAGAUGGGGGUAACUGAAGAGCACUUAGCAUAAGGACUGUUCAUAAACAUAUGACAGAGUUUAAGGGAAACCUAGAAGGGAUAGCAAGCGUGCUGGAGGAGCAGGCUGCUCCUGUCCUGGCCGAGCAGGCUGUUCUUGCUCCCUGC